GCAUAUCAAUAAGCGGAGGAAAAGAAACUAACCAGGAUUCCCCUAGUAACGGCGAGUGAAGCGGGAAAAGCUCAAAUUUGUAAUCUGGCGCCUUGGGCGUCCGAGUUGUAAUCUCGAGAAGUAUUUUCCGCGCUGGACCGCACAUAAGUCUGUUGGAAUACAGCGUCAUAGUGGUGAGAACCCCGUAUAGGGUGCGGAUGCCCAGUGCUUUGUGAUAUACUUUCGAAGAGUCGAGUUGUUUGGGAAUGCAGCUCAAAUUGGGUGGUAAAUUCCAUCUAAAGCUAAAUAUUGGCGAGAGACCGAUAGCGAACAAGUACCGUGAGGGAAAGAUGAAAAGCACUUUGGAAAGAGAGUUAACAGUACGUGAAAUUGUUGGAAGGGAAACGCUUGAAGUCAGACUUGCAUUUUGGAGUUCAGCCGCAAGGUGUAUUCUUCAAUUUGCAGGCCAGCAUCAGUUUUUGGGGGUGGAAAAGCGUGGUUUGAAGGUAGCAGUCUCGGCUGUGUUAUAGCUUUCCACUGGAUUCACUUUUGGGGACUGAGGAACGCAGUACGCUUUUUGCAAGAUUCUCGGAUCUUUCGUACUUAGGAUGCUGGUGGAAUGGCUUUAAACGACCCGUCUUGAAACACGGAC
rnacentral:rRNA from 1 species